UGAAAUUCCACAAUCAUUUCUUCUGCUUUGUUUUGCAAUUUCAAUGGUAGCUUCAUUUCUUUAUAACCUAGUAUUACUUUUCCUCUCUCCCUUUUUAUUACUCUAAAAUCUCACAAUUAUCUCUUCCGCUCUAUUUUGCAAUUAUAAGGUUCCAAUGGUGGCUAGUUGUUAAAGGUGAUAGCUUGCAAUUAAAAAAAAAAAUUAAAGGGACUGAUCUAAAUAGAGAAGAUAUCAUCAUUCUUCUUAUGUUUUAGCUUUUAUUUUAUUUUUCACGCGCAUGAACCCACCCUCUCACUUAUAUAAUCUAGUGGAUUAAGAAUCAACUAACUUAAUACAGAGAUCAAACAUAAAUGGGGCAUUUGUUUUGGACUUCAAUUUGCAUCAGAUAGGGGUUUUGGAGCCCAUAUCCAACAAAAAUCGUCUAAUGGUCAGGUUUGAGACAAAAUUAUAGCCUCAACAAUAUUACAACUAGGGGUAUUCAAAAUCAAAUCAAGCUGAACAACAAAUUGCAAACCGAUCCAAAAAAUAAAAAAUCGUUGAAAAACCAAAACCAUGUAGUUUAGCUUAUUUUGUUCCCAAAUCGAGUUAUUCGAUUUGAUUUGCAAUUUAGAACUUUAAAAUCAAUCCAAAUUGAACCAAACCAAACUACAUGUGUACAUAUAUAUUUUUACUCUUUAGUCAUAUAUGAUUCAUUUGAAACGCAAAAACAUGAUUCUCACUCUCAAUCUCGUGAAAAGGGAAACCCUAUAUUAGAAACCUCGUAUCAUACCUCCUCCUUAAGCUCCCCCCUCCACCCCAUACUAGAAAAGUCUCUUUACUCCGCUGUCGAAACCACCCUCGUCAAUUCCCAUUUCCCCCACACCCUCUCCAAAAUGACGUCAUUAGAAAAGCUCCAUUGCUCUACUGUUGAAGCCACCCUCACCAAUUCCUACCUUGCCCAUGCCCUUGCCAAAACAACGUCAUUUGAAAAGUUUUCCUUCUAUUUCAUCGAGAAUAAAAGGUAUGUACAUAUAAUUCCAUUUUUCUUUCUCUAGGUUAUUUAUUUUUUCCCAUUUUUUUCUUCCUUUUCCUUUGUAGCUUUGUUUCUCUUCUUUUUGUUUAUUUUGGUUUAGGAAGGAAAUCACAUGCAAUUUACGAAAAGCAUUUUAUGAAUUAUGGAGAAGUUUGUUUCCUUAGGCAAGUAAUUUAGAUAGGCUUGGAUUCUAACAUAAUUAUAAUUUUAUUUCAAAUUUUUACUAGAUUAAGGUGAUGAUGUAAUGGACCUGGAAAUUAAUGAAACAUGAUAAUGUUGUUACAUGUUUAAAUAUAUUAUGCACUUUCCAUUAUAUUGUUUAUGGAUCAUAUCUACCUAGCUUGGAUUUCAAGUGAUUGAUAAGCCAUUAUGGUUGAUUAGUGAUUAGAUUAUAAUGAGGUUUAUAAAGGGUAGCUUAUUUGCAAGGAUAUUUGCAAGGAAUUUUUGCCCUUUUGGUCUUGCAACUGCAUAGUAAUAGUUUAAUUGUAAUUUAGACUACCACAUAGUAAUUAAGCUUAAUCUUGGUGGUGUGCACCUUUUCCCUGUUUCAUCCAUUGCUUGAAUCACUCUAAUACAAUAGUACUAGAACCAUAUUUAUUAUUUUGAUAUAUAUUUUUUUCUAAAUUUUGGUUAUAAUGUGUUUUAACUUUCAUGCGGUUGUUUUGAUUUCUUAGUCUAUCAAAUCUAGAUACUAUUGUUAGUAUAAAAUGGUUGUUCAAAUUUGUGACUUGUGCGUGACUUGGGAUAAGCUCUACAACUUGCAUUCCUUUAGCAUAGUUAUUUAAAGGUACGAAUUUUAUUCAAACUAUUUUUUAUUAUUACUAAUUGUUCUAUUUUAAUUUUGGUUCAUGGUACAUGAUGAUAGUAUUAACGUUAUUGAUUGAGUGCUUUGAAUUUUCAACCAUCACAAGCACCAUUGUUACCAUUUAGUCAUUCACCAUGGAGACUCGAAGUGAUGAUCAUAUUUCAAAUACUCACUCUGGAAAUUCUUCAAAUGAACCAAUAUGUAUGGAUGCCAACGAUCAAGAAGAUUUGAACAAAGAGGGAGGCUCUAAUGUUGAAAAAACAAAAAGAAGAAAAAAAAA